ensembl:lncRNA
AGUCUAUGGUUUUGUCACAACUACUUAAAUCAAGAUUAAUACUCUGAAUACAAGUUAUUUGACCUCAUUUCCGUAUGUCAUUUUGCAGUGAAGAUAUUACAAAAUCAGACUUGUGUUUUAUGCUGAGAAUCGGACCACUCGCCUUUACCCGCUCUAAAGGAUGUCGGAUGUGACCAAAAACUGCUCCCCGAUCAUGUUUACUUCGGAACAUUUGAAAGGAAAUGGAUUUUUAUUUUUCCUGGACGUCUCAUGUGCAUAUUUUAAUCUCUUUUAACAGUGUGGAUAGUUCUGCAGACUGGAUGUAUUUGAAUGUUGGGGAGAUGUUUGCAUGUUCCUGAUGGAGAGCACUUAUGGAGGACAGCGCAUGCGCCUGGAGCUGUGGACAGAUUUUAAAAGUAUCUGGACAAUCAUCCAUGUUCUCCCAUAACUGCUGGUUUUAUUUUUCUACUGUUGUUUUCAUGUACAGAUACUACACUGCAAAAUAUCUACAGGAGUUGGAAUGACUUGGAUUCACGAUUUCUCUGGAUUCGAAGAGUUGAGACGAGUGAAUGGAUUCAGGAUUUUGGCAUGGUAGAUUUUUUUUUAUUUUUUUUUGUGCCAAAGGAACAAUAUUCUCUUGUUAUUCCAAGUGGAAAGAUGUAGUAUAAUGACACCAGCCAGCAAUAUCUUAAAACAAGUAAAGUAAAUAGAACUAGUCAAAACUACUUAAAAUGGGAUUAAUUUAAGUUAUUUUAACUCCUGUAAGUGUUAUUUUAGCAAUGUAGCUUGCACCAAUCAAACUGCAAUGUAUAAAAAGCUUCUGCUUCCUGGUGCUGUGCCUCCUCACUCAGAAACUGAGGAGAACCUGACGGACUGUGGAGCUGCAGUUGCUCAGGGUGAUGGAGUUGCUGCUACAGUUGUCCUGGGCUAUGAGGCAUCUACUGCAGCUGCUCUGGGCCAAAGGGUUUCUGCUGCAGUUGCCUUGGGCGAUAGGGUAGGGUGUUGCUAUAGUUGCUCUAGGCAACGGCAUUGCUUCUGUGGUUGCUCUGAGCACGGGGGUGGCAACUGUAGUUGCCCUCGGCAACGGGGCUGCUGCUGUAGUUGCCCGGGACGACAGGGUGGCUGCUGUAGUUGUUCCGGGCAAUAGGGUGGCUGCGCUAGAUGCCCUGGGUGACACGGUUGCUCCGGGCAACGGGGUGGCGACUGUAGUUGCCCUGGGUGACAGGGUUGCUGCUGUAGUUGCCCAGGGCAACAGGGGUUGUUGCUGAGGCUUGUAUCUGACGGGGUUCGCCGUGCGAAUCUGCAUCGUGUUUCUAUAAAGGUGUAUUAUUUUAUUAGAGCAUUAAAUAUAUCGACC